rnacentral:rRNA from 1 species
AGAGUUUGAUCCUGGCUCAGAUUGAACGCUGGCGGCAUGCCUAACACAUGCAAGUCGAACGGCAGCACAGCAGUAGCAAUACUGUGGGUGGCGAGUGGCGGACGGGUGAGUAAUACAUCGGGACCUACCCAGACGUGGGGGAUAACCUCGGGAAACCGGGACUAAUACCGCAUACGUCCUACGGGAGAAAGCGGGGACCUUCGGGCCUCGCGCGUUUGGACGGACCGAUGUUCGAUUAGCUAGUUGGUGGGGUAAAGGCCUACCAAGGCGACGAUCGAUAGCUGGUCUGAGAGGAUGAUCAGCCACAUUGGGACUGAGACACGGCCCAAACUCCUACGGGAGGCAGCAGUGGGGAAUAUUGGACAAUGGGCGCAAGCCUGAUCCAGCAAUGCCGCGUGUGUGAAGAAGGCCUUCGGGUUGUAAAGCACUUUUAUCAGGAAAGAAAACGACAAGGUAAUAACCGUGUUGUCUGACGGUACCUGAGGAAUAAGCACCGGCUAACUUCGUGCCAGCAGCCGCGGUAAUACGAAGGGUGCAAGCGUUAAUCGGAAUUACUGGGCGUAAAGGGUGCGUAGGCGGUUUGUUAAGUCUGUUGUGAAAUCCCCGGGCUCAACCUGGGAAUGGCAAUGGAUACUGGCAAGCUAGAGUGUGUCAGAGGAUGGUGGAAUUCCCGGUGUAGCGGUGAAAUGCGUAGAGAUCGGGAGGAACAUCAUGGCGAAGGCGGCCAUCUGGGACAACACUGACGCUGAAGCACGAAAGCGUGGGGAGCAAACAGGAUUAGAUACCCUGGUAGUCCACGCCCUAAACGAUGCGAACUGGACGUUGGUCUCAACUCGGAGAUCAGUGUCGAAGCUAACGCGUUAAGUUCGCCGCCUGGGGAGUACGGUCGCAAGACUGAAACUCAAAGGAAUUGACGGGGGCCCGCACAAGCGGUGGAGUAUGUGGUUUAAUUCGAUGCAACGCGAAGAACUUACCUGGCCUUGACAUGUCGCGAAUUCUGCAGAGAUGCGGGAGUGCCUUCGGGAAUGCGAACACAGGUGCUGCAUGGCUGUCGUCAGCUCGUGUCGUGAGAUGUUGGGUUAAGUCCCGCAACGAGCGCAA